UCGGAUUAGCUAGUUGGUGGGGUAAAGGCCUACCAAGGCGACGAUCUGUAGCGGGUCUGAGAGGAUGAUCCGCCACACUGGGACUGAGACACGGCCCAGACUCCUACGGGAGGCAGCAGUGGGGAAUAUUGGACAAUGGGCGCAAGCCUGAUCCAGCCAUGCCGCGUGUGUGAAGAAGGCCUUAUGGUUGUAAAGCACUUUAAGCGAGGAGGAGGCUACUUUAGUUAAUACCUAGAGAUAGUGGACGUACUCGCAGA
rnacentral:rRNA from 1 species